rnacentral:rRNA from 1 species
UACAGAGGUGGCAAGCGUUGUUCGGAAUUACUGGGCGUAAAGGGCGCGUAGGCGGCCUUCUAAGUCAGACGUGAAAUCCCCCGGCUUAACCUGGGAACUGCGUCUGAUACUGGAGGGCUUGAGUGCGGGAGAGGGAUGUGGAAUUCCAGGUGUAGCGGUGAAAUGCGUAGAUAUCUGGAGGAACACCGGUGGCGAAGGCGGCAUCCUGGACCGACACUGACGCUGAGGCGCGAAAGCUAGGGUAGCAAAACGGG